rnacentral:rRNA from 1 species
GUGACAUACCUAAAACGUUGCUUCGGCGGGAACAGACGGCCCUGUAACAACGGGCCGCCCCCGCCAGAGGACCCCUAACUCUGUUUUUAUAAUGUUUUUCUGAGUAAACAAGCAAAUAAAUUAAAACUUUCAACAACGGAUCUCUUGGCUCUGGCAUCGAUGAAGAACGCAGCGAAAUGCGAUAAGUAAUGUGAAUUGCAGAAUUCAGUGAAUCAUCGAAUCUUUGAACGCACAUUGCGCCCGCCAGUAUUCUGGCGGGCAUGCCUGUUCGAGCGUCAUUACAACCCUCAGGCCCCCGGGCCUGGCGUUGGGGAUCGGCGGAAGCCCCCUGUGGGCACACGCCGUCCCUCAAAUACAGUGGCGGUCCCGCCGCAGCUUCCAUUGCGUAGUAGCUAACACCUCGCAACUGGAGAGCGGCGCGGCCAUGCCGUAAAACACCCAACUUCUGAAUGUUGACCUCGAAUCAGGUAGGAAUACCCGCUGAACUUAAGCAUAUCAAUAAG